rnacentral:ncRNA from 1 species
ACAAUUCAAGCUGUAACGAAGUGCUGUGCGCACGGGCUGGUGUUCAUU